CUUCGCAGCCAUCUUGGUUCAUUAUGCAUACAAUAGUUCGUAUAUAAUCAAAGUUUAGCACAUAUCGACAUCUCAUCAAUGUUGUCGCGAUCACGUGAGUUAGCAACUUUGUAAACCCUACUUUAUAUAAUAAGAUAAUAAUCUAUGCUAUUUCUAUGGUGUAACACUUAUAAGAAUCUUCUUCUCUUAGAUACUUCUUGUUACGUGUGGAUGACCAUGGUUAAAUUAACAUCUAUUUUCAUCAGCUUUUUCUGUUUUGGUA
rnacentral:sRNA from 1 species